CAAUCGUUCGCACCGGAGUCAUUCGUUCCUCAUUCGUUCCUUCAGUGUGUGCUUUCGCUUGAAAUAUCUCGGAAAUAUCCAAUAUUUCACUCCACAUAUGUUUUAACGUUGUGUUUUACGCAAACCAAAUCGACUUCAGGCAAAGUUCAGCGGAAAACACCGUUUAAAAAGGCACCGGCCACAAACAUAGGAAGAAGCAUCAGGGACUAUAGGUGGAAGUGGACAAUAAUUAUUCCGUGGAAGCUUCUUAUCACGAACCAAUUAAAUUGGUGGUUUAACUUUGCAGGCUCAAUUGUAAAAGACGUUGGGCGGCACCUACGUGAGAGCUCGCGAGAGUAUUUCGUCGUUGGAAAAGAAAAACAAAACGUGCAGUCUAGACGCU